UAAUUUUAAAAAUUUAUUAUUCUAGAGUAGUAAUUAGUAUAAAUUAAAAUUUAAAAAAUUUGGCAGUAUUUUAUUGUAUUAGAGGAUUUUGUUCUGUAAUUGAUAAUACACAAUAUAUUUUACUUAAUUUUAAAAUUUAUAUAUUGUUAUCAAAAAAAUAUCUUAAAAAAGAAUUUUUAAAAAUUUUUUAAAAAAAAAUGUUAAAUCAAAAUGUAGUGAAUAAUUAAGAUUGAGAUGAAAUACAAUAAAUAAAUUUUUAUGAAUUCUUUUUUGGAAAAAAAAGUUGAAAUUGGAUUUAAUAGUAAAUUAUAUUAUAUUUUAUUAUUGAAAAUAAUUUAAAAUGUGU
rnacentral:rRNA from 1 species